rnacentral:rRNA from 1 species
UGCCCUUAGUAACGGCGAGUGAAGCGGCAAAAGCUCAAAUUUGAAAUCUGGUACCUUCGGUGCCCGAGUUGUAAUUUGGAGAGGGCAACUUUGGGGCCGUUCCUUGUCUAUGUUCCUUGGAACAGGACGUCAUAGAGGGUGAGAAUCCCGUGUGGCGAGGAGUGCGGUUCUUUGUAAAGUGCCUUCGAAGAGUCGAGUUGUUUGGGAAUGCAGCUCUAAGUGGGUGGUAAAUUCCAUCUAAAGCUAAAUAUUGGCGAGAGACCGAUAGCGAACAAGUACAGUGAUGGAAAGAUGAAAAGAACUUUGAAAAGAGAGUGAAAAAGUACGUGAAAUUGUUGAAAGGGAAGGGCAUUUGAUCAGACAUGGUGUUUUGUGCCCUCUGCUCCUUGUGGGUAGGGGAAUCUCGCAUUUCACUGGGCCAGCAUCAGUUUUGGUGGCAGGAUAAAUCCAUAGGAAUGUAGCUUGCCUCGGUAAGUAUUAUAGCCUGUGGGAAUACUGCCAGCUGGGACUGAGGACUGCGACGUAAGUCAAGGAUGCUGGCAUAAUGGUUAUAUGCCGCCCGUCUUGAAACACGGACCA